GGCGGCGUAGCUCAGCUGGCUAGAGCGUACGGUUCAUACCCGUAAGGUCGGGGGUUCGAGGCCCUCCGCCGCUA
rnacentral:tRNA from 4 species